rnacentral:rRNA from 1 species
AGAGCGAACGCUGGCGGCAUGCUUAACACAUGCAAGUCUCACGGGCAGCAAUGUCAGUGGCGGACGGGUGAGUAACGCGUAGGUAUCUAUCCAUGGGUGGGGGAUAACGUCGGGAAACUGACGCUAAUACCGCAUGACAUCUGAGGAUCAAAGGCGCGAGUCGCCUGUGGAGGAGCCUGCGUACGAUUAGCUAGUUGGUGGGUAAAGGCCUACCAAGGCGACGAUCGUUAGCUGGUCUGAGAGGAUGAUCAGCCACACUGGGACUGAGACACGGCCCAGACUCCUACGGGAGGCAGCAGUGGGGAAUAUUGGACAAUGGGCGAAAGCCUGAUCCAGCAAUGCCGCGUGUGUGAAGAAGGUCUUCGGAUUGUAAAGCACUUUCGGCGGGACGAUGAUGACGGUACCGCAGAAGAAGCCCGGCUAACUUCGUGCCAGCAGCCGC